ensembl:snoRNA
UUGCAAGCCUCCCAUGUUCUUGGGUCUGGGCUGACCUUGCACAUUCCUACAGUGCUUGCAAGAACAGUUUUGAAAUGGUUUGAGGCCUUGAUCUGCUCCAUCUACAGAGCAAGGUUAUAGAAAUUUCACACAGUU